AGCGAACGCUGGCGGCAGGCCUAACACAUGCAAGUCGAACGAACCUUUCGGGGUUAGUGGCGGACGGGUGAGUAACACGUGGGAACGUGCCUUUAGGUUCGGAAUAACUCAGGGAAACUUGUGCUAAUACCGAAUGUGCCCUUCGGGGGAAAGAUUAAUCGCCUUUAGAGCGGCCCGCGUCUGAUUAGCUAGUUGGUUGAGGUAAUGGCUCACCAAGGCGACGAUCAGUAGCUGGUCUGAGAGGAUGAUCAGCCACAUUGGGACUGAGACACGGCCCAAACUCCUACGGGAGGCAGCAGGGGGGAAUCUUGCGCAAUGGGCGAAAGCCUGACGCAGCCAUGCCGGGGGAAUGAUGAAGGUCUUAGGAUUGUAAAAUUCUUUCACCGGGGACGAUAAUGACGGUACCCGGAGAAGAAGCCCCGGCUAACUUCGU
rnacentral:rRNA from 1 species